rnacentral:lncRNA from 1 species
AUGAAUGGUCUUCGUCUUCUUGGGGAGCCGGGAGCUGAAUUACCCUGCCUGGUGCAGAGCACCCAACCUGGCCCCAAGUGGAAACUGCACAUACCCGUGGCAGGAACAGGCCCACAUGCUGUCACUCAUCUCCUGGAUUGGUGCUUCAGACCGUCAGCAUCUAGCAGACAGGAGGCAGCCCUCCACGGCGGCAACCCGAGACGAAGCAAACCAGUGGUGCACAGGCGCUCUCCGGGAAUGAGAGGCUAUGCCUCCCAACCUUCCAACACUUGGUGUAACUGUGGACCUGCUGGGACACACUGCAGUGGGACACACUGGCGGAGAGACCUCUGUAUGGGAAUCAUGAGGAAUUUGGUGGGCCUCACCGGAGGGCAGGCUUCAGGAAGACCACAACUCUGGGAGACAGAAUCCUGAAUACGAGAUGCUUAAAAAAAAAGGGAUUACAGCCAACAAAUAAAAGGUGCUUUUCUUUAGUUUUGUUCUCCUGA